GCUAAGGAUUUCUUUACUGUGUGAUCAUAACAGGAGGAUGCUGUGGAAAUACGUCCAGUGCCGGAAUGUCCCAAGGAACAUCUGGGCAACAGAAUACUGGUCAAAGUGCUGACUCUGAAGUUUGAGAUUGAAAUUGAGCCUCUGUUUGCCAGUAUUGCCCUCUAUGAUGUUAAAGAAAGAAAAAAGAUCUCGGAAAAUUUCCACUGUGACCUGAACUCUGACCAGUUCAAAGGGUUCCUGCGAGCUCACACCCCCUCAGUCGACCCAUCGAGUCAGGCGAGGUCUGCAGUGUUCUCAGUCACCUACCCAUCCUCAGACAUCUACCUGGUUGUCAAGAUUGAAAAGGUCCUUCAGCAGGGGGAGAUUGCAGACUGUGCAGAACCCUACAUGGUCAUCAAAGAAAGUGAUGGUGGAAAGGUAUGGUCAUCUAAGUACUGGUGCCAUCUUAGGAUGAACAAAUUUCCAAAAGUGUUC